rnacentral:rRNA from 1 species
UACGUAGGCAGCGAGCGUUGUUCGGAAUUACUGGGCGUAAAGAGUGUGUAGGCGGUGCUCCAAGUCUGUUGUGAAAUCUCCCGGCUUAACUGGGACGGUGCGGCGGAAACUAGAGUGCUAGAGGGUGGGAGAGGUAAGCGGAAUUCCUGGUGUAGCGGUGAAAUGCGUAGAUAUCAGGAGGAACACCUGUGGCGAAAGCGGCGCACUGGACCAUAACUGACGCUGAGGCGCGAAAGCUAGGGGAGCAAACAGG